rnacentral:rRNA from 1 species
AUUGAACGCUGGCGGCAUGCUUUACACAUGCAAGUCGAACGGUAACAGGCCGCAAGGUGCUGACGAGUGGCGAACGGGUGAGUAAUGCAUCGGAACGUGCCCAGUCGUGGGGGAUAACGCAGCGAAAGCUGCGCUAAUACCGCAUACGAUCUAUGGAUGAAAGCGGGGGACGGUAAGGCCUCGCGCGAUGGGAGCGGCCGAUGUCAGAUUAGGUAGUUGGAGGGGUAAAGGCGCACCAAGCCGACGAUCUGUAGCUGGUCUGAGAGGACGACCAGCCACACUGGGACUGAGACACGGCCCAGACUCCUACGGGAGGCAGCAGUGGGGAAUUUUGGACAAUGGGCGCAAGCCUGAUCCAGCAAUGCCGCGUGCAGGAAGAAGGCCUUCGGGUUGUAAACUGCUUUUGUACGGAACGAAACGGCUCUGGUUAAUACCCGGGGCUAAUGACGGUACCGUAAGAAUAAGCACCGGCUAACUACGUGCCAGCCGCCGCCGUAAUAC